UGCGCAGCUACACAUGCAAGUCGAGCGGCCUCGGGUCAGCGGCGGACGGUGAGUAACGCGUGGGAACGUGCCUUCUGGUCUGGAAUAACCUGGGAAACUAGGGCUAAUACCGAUACGCCCUUUUGGGAAAGGUUACUGCCGGAAGAUCGGCCCGCGUCUGAUUAGCUCGUUGGUGGGGUAACGGCCUACCAAGGCGACGAUCAGUAGCUGGUCUGAGAGGAUGAUCAGCCACACUGGGACUGAGACACGGCCCAGACUCUACGGGAGGCAGCAGUGGGGAAUAUUGGACAAUGGGCGCAAGCCUGAUCCAGCCAUGCCGCGUGAGUGAUGAAGGCCUUAGGGUUGUAAAGCUCUUUUAUCCGGGACGAUAAUGACGGUACCGGAGGAAUAAGCCCCGGCUAACUUCGUGCCAGCAGCCGCGGUAAUACGAAGGGGGCUAGCGUUGCUCGGAAUCACUGGGCGUAAAGGGCGCGUAGGCGGCGUUUUAAGUCGGGGGUGAAAGCCUGUGGCUCAACCACAGAAUGGCCUUCGAUACUGGGACGCUUGAGUAUGGUAGAGGUUGGUGGAACUGCGAGUGUAGAGGUGAAAUUCGUAGAUAUUCGCAAGAACACCGGUGGCGAAGGCGGCCAACUGGACCAUUACUGACGCUGAGGCGCGAAAGCGUGGGGAGUAAACAGGAUUAGAUACCUGGUA
rnacentral:rRNA from 1 species